rnacentral:rRNA from 1 species
AACGCGAAGAACCUUACCUACUCUUGACAUCCAGAGGAUCUUGUAGAGAUACGAGAGUGCCUUCGGGAACUCUGAGACAGGUGCUGCAUGGCUGUCGUCAGCUCGUGUUGUGAAAUGUUGGGUUAAGUCCCGCAACGAGCGCAACCCUUAUCCUUUGUUGCCAGCGAUUCGGUCGGGAACUCAAAGGAGACUGCCGGUGAUAAACCGGAGGAAGGUGGGGAUGACGUCAAGUCAUCAUGGCCCUUACGAGUAGGGCUACACACGUGCUACAAUGGCGUAUACAAAGAGAAGCGACCUCGCGAGAGCAAGCGGACCUCAUAAAGUACGUCGUAGUCCGGAUUGGAGUCUGCAACUCGACUCCAUGAAGUCGGAAUCGCUAGUAAUCGUAGAUCAGAAU